UAUCAGCAGGGAAGAAAAUGACGGUACCUGACUAAGAAGCCCUUUUUCUAGACGUGCCAGCAGCCGCGGUAAUACGUAGGGGGCAAGCGUUAUCCGGAUUUACUGGGUGUAAAGGGAGCGUAGACGGAAGAGCAAGUCUGAUGUGAAAGGCUGGGGCUUAACCCCAGGACUGCAUUGGAAACUGUUUUUCUAGAGUGCCGGAGAGGUAAGCGGAAUUCCUAGUGUAGCGGUGAAAUGCGUAGAUAUUAGGAGGAACACCAGUGGCGAAGGCGGCUUACUGGACGGUAACUGACGUUGAGGCUCGAAAGCGUGGGG
rnacentral:rRNA from 1 species